UACGUAGGGGGCGAGCGUUGUCCGGAUUUAUUGGGCGUAAAGAGCUCGUAGGCGGUUCGAUAAGUCGGACGUGAAAUCUCCACGCUCAACGUGGAGGGGCCGUUCGAUACUGUCGUCACUCGAGUCCGGUAGGGGAGUGUGGAAUUCCCGGUGUAGCGGUGAAAUGCGCAGAGAUCGGGAGGAACACCCGUAGCGAAGGCGGCACUCUGGGCCGGUACUGACGCUGAGGAGCGAAAGCGUGGGGAGCAAACAGG
rnacentral:rRNA from 1 species